rnacentral:rRNA from 1 species
UGGGGAAUUUUGGACAAUGGGCGAAAGCCUGAUCCAGCAAUGCCGCGUGUGUGAAGAAGGCCUUCGGGUUGUAAAGCACUUUUGUCCGGAAAGAAAUCCUUGGCUCUAAUACAGUCGGGGGAUGACGGUACCGGAAGAAUAAGCACCGGCUAACUACGUGCCAGCAGCCGCGGUAAUACGUAGGGUGCAAGCGUUAAUCGGAAUUACUGGGCGUAAAGCGUGCGCAGGCGGUUUGCUAAGACCGAUGUGAAAUCCCCGGGCUCAACCUGAGAACUGCAUUGGUGACUGGCAGGCUAGAGUAUGGCAGAGGGGGGUAGAAUUCCACGUGUAGCAGUGAAAUGCGUAGAGAUGUGGAGGAAUACCGAUGGCGAAGGCAGCCCCCUGGGCCAAAUACUGACGCUCAUGCACGAAAGCGUGGGGAGCAAACAGGAUUAGAUACCCUGGUAGUCCACGCCCUAAACGAUGUCAACUAGUUGUUGGGGAUUCAUUUCCUUAGUAACGUAGCUAACGCGUGAAGUUGACCGCCUGGGGAGUACGGUCGCAAGAUUAAAACUUAAAUGAAUUGACGGGGUCAUAGCUGUUUCCU